CCUCCUAAAGUGUAACGGAGGAGUUCGAAGGUACGCUAGGUACGGUCGGAAAUCGUGCUGAUAGUGCAAUGGCAUAAGCGUGCUUAACUGCGAGACCGACAAGUCGAGCAGGUGCGAAAGCAGGUCAUAGUGAUCCGGUGGUUCUGUAUGGAAGGGCCAUCGCUCAACGGAUAAAAGGUACUCUGGGGAUAACAGGCUGAUACCGCCCAAGAGUUCAUAUCGACGGCGGUGUUUGGCACCUCGAUGUCGGCUCAUCUCAUCCUGGGGCUGUAGCCGGUCCCAAGGGUAUGGCUGUUCGCCAUUUAAAGAGGUACGUGAGCUGGGUUUAAAACGUCGUGAGACAGUUUGGUCCCUAUCUGCCGUGGGCGUUGGAAAUUUGAAGGGGGCUGCUCCUAGUACGAGAGGACCGGAGUGGACGAACCUCUGGUGUACCGGUUGUCACGCCAGUGGCAUCGCCGGGUAGCUAUGUUCGGAAGAGAUAACCGCUGAAAGCAUCUAAGCGGGAAACUCGCCUUAAGAUGAGAUAUCCCCGGGGCUUCGAGCCCCUUGAAGGGUCGUUCAAGACCAGGACGUUGAUAGGUCAGGUGUG
rnacentral:rRNA from 15 species